AAUCAACGCUGGCGGCGUGCCUAACACAUGCAAGUCGAACGAGAAAGUGGAGCAAUCCAUGAGUACAGUGGCGAACGGGUGAGUAACACGUGACUAACCUGCCUUCGAGUGGGGGAUAACCUCGGGAAACCGGGGCUAAUACCGCAUAACAUCCUCAGGGUGCAAUUCCCAGGGGACCAAAGGGGUAAGACGCUUGAAGAGGGGGUCGCGGCUGAUUAGCUAGUUGGUGAGGUAAUGGCUCACCAAGGCGAAGAUCGGUAGCCGGCCUGAGAGGGCG
rnacentral:rRNA from 1 species